CCUCACUCGAAACCAUCAAAGCUCCCACACCCUAAAACUCUAACUCCCUCAAUUCUUCACGGAUUUGAGUGAUUCCAGAGCCAAACCUCAUUAGUUUUUCGUGCUGGUUCUAUUUCUUCUAUCAAUUUGACCGAUUUCCAGAUGCCUCCACGCAGGAAGCAAUGUACAUACGAAGCAUGAGAUUUUAAAAAUUACUUAUUAAAUUUUAAUAUUAAGUUUUAAACCAUUCAAAGAAAAUGAAAAGUUUUGUUUAUUAAUUGACUUUGAAAUAAUAUUUCUGUAAAUGUUAAAAUCGAUGUUAUAACUAAUUAAAAAUAUUGAUGGAUAUUUUUUAUU